rnacentral:misc_RNA from 1 species
AAGUCGAACCCGUGAACCUUUAAUUUUUUUUGUAAAUCGUGUAGUUCGCAAUUUAUGAUAAAUCAUAGCCCGGAAAGUUAGUGAUUCAGAGACCUCUGGCUACGUGCGAACAUUAGAACAGUUACAAUCGAGCGGUAGUUCUAGAGGCAAUGUUUCCGUCGGAAAGUGUCAUUGAUUGUGCAAGGAUAGCGCUUCCACGAUUCCUGUAGACCGUACACUCGGGCAGGAGCUUUGCAAAAGGGUCCCCAUGCCCCCUAAUAACCCCACAGUUUAUUGUGAAGCUCAAUGUAAUACAUUGGGUAAGAAAACCGAACAACUGUUAACAAUGGAUAUCUUGGUUCUC